rnacentral:rRNA from 1 species
AUUGAACGCUGGCGGCAUGCCUUACACAUGCAAGUCGAACGGCAGCACGGGAGCAAUCCUGGUGGCGAGUGGCGAACGGGUGAGUAAAGUAUCGGAACGUGCCCAGUCGUGGGGGAUAACGUAGCGAAAGCUACGCUAAUACCGCAUACGAUCUAUGGAUGAAAGCGGGGGAUCGCAAGACCUCGCGCGAUUGGAGAGGCCGAUAUCAGAUUAGGUAGUUGGUGGGGUAAAGGCCCACCAAGCCGACGAUCUGUAGCUGGUCUGAGAGGACGACCAGCCACACUGGGACUGAGACACGGCCCAGACUCCUACGGGAGGCAGCAGUGGGGAAUUUUGGACAAUGGGCGCAAGCCUGAUCCAGCGAUGCCGCGUGCAGGAUGAAGGCCUUCGGGUUGUAAACUGCUUUUGUACGGAGCGAAAAGGCUUCCACUAAUACUGGGGGCUCAUGACGGUACCGUAAGAAUAAGCACCGGCUAACUACGUGCCAGCAGCCGCUGUAAAAC